rnacentral:rRNA from 1 species
AUUGCGGCGGUGUCCCACCUCUUCCCAUUCCGAACAGAGAAGUUAAGCCCGCUUGCGCCGAUGGUACUGCAAUGCAAUGCGGGAGAGUAGGUGGCUGCCUUCU